rnacentral:rRNA from 1 species
UACGAAGGAGGCUAGCGUUGCUCGGAAUCACUGGGCGUAAAGCGCACGUAGGCGGCUUUUUAAGUCAGGGGUGAAAUCCUGGAGCUCAACUCCAGAACUGCCUUUGAUACUGAGAAGCUUGAGUCCGGGAGAGGUGAGUGGAACUGCGAGUGUAGAGGUGAAAUUCGUAGAUAUUCGGAAGAACACCAGUGGCGAAGGCGACUUACUGGACACAUAUUGACGCUGAGGUGCGAAAGCGUGGGGAGCAAACAGG